rnacentral:rRNA from 1 species
AACACGUGAGUAACCUGCCCCUGACUCUGGGAUAAGCCUGGGAAACCGGGUCUAAUACCGGAUACGACCAUUUCUCGCAUGGGAUGGUGGUGGAAAGUUUUUUCGGUUGGGGAUGGGCUCGCGGCCUAUCAGCUUGUUGGUGGGGUGAUGGCCUACCAAGGCGACGACGGGUAGCCGGCCUGAGAGGGCGACCGGCCACACUGGGACUGAGACACGGCCCAGACUCCUACGGGAGGCAGCAGUGGGGAAUAUUGCGCAAUGGGCGGAAGCCUGACGCAGCGACGCCGCGUGGGGGAUGACGGCCUUCGGGUUGUAAACCUCUUUCAGCAGGGACGAAGUUGACGUGUACCUGUAGAAGAAGCGCCGGCUAACUACGUGCCAGCAGCCGCGGUAAUACGUAGGGCGCAAGCGUUGUCCGGAAUUAUUGGGCGUAAAGAGCUCGUAGGUGGCUUGUCGCGUCUGCCGUGAAAGCCCGUGGCUUAACUACGGGUCUGCGGUGGAUACGGGCAGGCUAGAGGCUGGUAGGGGCAAGCGGAAUUCCUGGUGUAGCGGUGAAAUGCGCAGAUAUCAGGAGGAACACCGGUGGCGAAGGCGGCUUGCUGGGCCAGUUCUGACGCUGA